rnacentral:rRNA from 1 species
GACUUUAUAUAAGAGGUCUAGCCUGCCCAGUGACAAAGUUCAACGGCCGCGGUACCCUAACCGUGCGAAGGUAGCAUAAUCACUUGUUCUUUAAAUGAGGACUAGUAUCAACGGCAUCACGAGGGUUAGACUGUCUCCUCUCUCCAAUCAGUGAAACUAAUCUUCCCGUGAAGAAGCGGGAAUAGUCUUAUAAGACGAGAAGACCCCAUGGAGCUUUAAACCCAUCUACACCCCUAAUCUUUACUUCUUUAUAACCCAAGGAUCCUGUAUUAUGGUUUUAGGUUGGGGUGACCGCGGAGCACAACUUAGCCUCCACGAUGAACGGAGUAAUCCCCUUAUCUAAGAGCAACAUCUCUAAGAAUUAGAAUUCUAACAUAAAAUGAUCCGAUAUUCGAUCAACGAACCAAGUUACCCUGGGGAUAACAGCGCAAUCCACUUCAAGAGCUCCUAUCGACAAGUGGGUUUACGACCUCGAUGUUGGAUCAGGGUAUCCUAGUGGUGCAGCAGCUACUAAAGGUUCGUUUGUUCAACGAUUAAAACCCUACGUGAUCUGAG